rnacentral:rRNA from 1 species
GACGAACGCUGGCGGCGUGCUUAACACAUGCAAGUCGAACGAAGAGCGACGGAAGCCUGCUUCUAUCAAUCUUAGUGGCGAACGGGUGAGUAACGCGUAAUCAACCUGCCCUUCAGAGGGGGACAACAGUUGGAAACGACUGCUAAUACCGCAUACGAUCUAAUCUCGGCAUCGAGGAUGGAUGAAAGGUGGCCUCUACAUGUAAGCUAUCACUGAAGGAGGGGAUUGCGUCUGAUUAGCUAGUUGGAGGGGUAACGGCCCACCAAGGCGAUGAUCAGUAGCCGGUCUGAGAGGAUGAACGGCCACAUUGGGACUGAGACACGGCCCAGACUCCUACGGGAGGCAGCAGUGGGGAAUCUUCCGCAAUGGACGAAAGUCUGACGGAGCAACGCCGCGUGAGUGAUGACGGCCUUCGGGUUGUAAAGCUCUGUUAAUCGGGACGAAAGGCCUUCUUGCGAAUAGUGAGAAGGAUUGACGGUACCGGAAUAGAAAGCCACGGCUAACUACGUG